UACGUAGGGACCAAGCGUUGUUCGGAAUUACUGGGCGUAAAGGGCUCGUAGGCGGCCAACUAAGUCAGACGUGAAAUCCCUCAGCUUAACUGGGGAACUGCGUCUGAUACUGGAUGGCUUGGAUUCGGGAGAGGAAUGCGGAAUUCCAGGUGUAGCGGUGAAAUGCGUAGAUAUCUGGAGGAACACCGGUGGCGAAGGCGGCAUUCUGGACCGAAAUUGACGCUGAGGAGCGAAAGCCAGGGGAGCAAACGGG
rnacentral:rRNA from 1 species